AACGAACGCUGGCGGCGUGCAUAACGCAUGCAAGUCGUACGAGAUUCCUCUGGGUAACUGGUUGAAAAAAGUGGCGAAAGGGGCAGUAAGGCAUGGAUAAUCUACCCUGAUGAUUGGGAUAGCUGUCCCAACGGGAAGGUAAUACCGGAUGAGAUGGUGGGGCCGCAUGGUUGUGCCAGGAAAGGCGCACGCCGUGUCGGGAGGUAGCCAUGUGGUAUUAGCUAGUUGGGGAGGUAAAGGCUCAACAAGGCGAAGAUGUCGAGCGGGUGCGAGAGCACGACCCGCGCCACUGGCACAGUGAGACAGGCCACAGUCCGACGGGGGGGUGAAGUGGGGGAACUUCGGCAAAGGGCGAAAGCGUGACCGAGCGACGCCGCGUGAGCGAAAAGGGCCAUUAGGGGGUAAAGCUCGCUCGAGGGUGAACAAGCGCCAAGGUGACGGUAUCCCGGGAAGAAGCACCGGCUAAGUUCGUG
rnacentral:rRNA from 1 species